rnacentral:ncRNA from 1 species
AUAAAGUUUGAUUUUCGUUUUGAUAUUCAUUUUAAAUUUUAAUUAUAUGUAAGUUUUUGCUUUGAUGGAAUUAAAAAUUACUUCAAAAUUUAUGGCAAUAUUUAAUUUUAUAAAAUUAAAGAGAUUUAGAUUUAGAAAUAUUUUUUAGUAUAGUAUAAUUUUGUGCCAGCAUUCGCGGUUAAACAAAAUGAUGUAAGUGAAUAAUAAUUAAUUUAUAAUUAAUAGAAUUAUAUAAUUAUUCUAGUAUAAAGGGUUGGAUUUAGGGGGUAAAAUCUUAAUUUUAAUUAAUAUAUUUUUAAUAUUUUUUAUGAGGGUGUGAAAUUUUUUUGUUAAACUAGGAUUAGAUACCCUAUUAUUUAAAAUGUAAAUAAUUUAAAUUAGAUGAUUAAUAGAUAUGAUCUUAAAAGUCAAGAGAUUUGGCGGUAUUCUAUCAAAUUAGGGGAAUUUGCUUAUGAAAUGAUGGUCCGCAAGAAAUCUUACUUUAUUUAAUUAGUUUAUAUGCCGCCGUUUAUAUUAGAGGGUCUUGUUAGAGGAGGAACUUUUUAAAGGCUUUAUAGGGCAGUAAUUCAGGUAAGGUGUAGUUUAUAGUAAAGUUUAAGUGAAUUACAAUAAAAUUAUUUAUUAUGAAUAUUAUAUUGAAAUAUAUGGUUGAAGGUGGACUUAAAAGUAAAAUAAAAAAUUAUAUUUAUUUGAAUUUAGAUCUAGAGUAUGUACAUAUCGCCCGUCGCUCUCGUUAAAAAAUGAGAUAAGUCGUAACAUAGUAGAUGUACUGGAAAGUGUAUCUAG